GUGGUGAUAAGAUUAUUAGUCAAAAUAAUUGAUACCCGGAUCUUGUUGUCACAAUAAAGUUUCAUAGGACCUUCCAUUUGGACUCGCAAUCAUCCCAGAAUAAUCUUCACCAUAGUAGUUCCACAAACCUUGAGCGAUAGCCUAAAUUCUAAUUCUGCGAUGAUCUUGCAAUCACUUUCUGCUCUUGCUUCCUCCACGUUACCAGGUUCCUCCAGAAAGUACAAUACCCGUAGUUGAUCUUCUAUCCACUAGGGAACCGGCAUAGUCAGCGUCGGUGUAGGCUUCUAUGAGUAGACUGUCAUUUUUGGAUCAGAUCUACCGCGAUCUCAUUCCAGGGUCGGAGUUGGACUCUUGGACUUGCGUCAGUUCUGGAACGGCCUCUUCUCCUUGAAUACACUUGAGAUGACUCGGUUACAAGGGAAACUUGGGUACUCUGAGGUGACUUGUUCUAAGGCCUUGGAUCGGGUUCACAAUAUGGUUGGAACACAAGGAAGUUCAAGUGUUUUUGAGUGUUUCAAGGUCUCCCCAGACUAUCUUCCAUCAUUGAAUUCUCCCGUGAAGAGAGGACUUAGAGAAAAAUGGUAUAUUUUCUGUGAAGUGACAUCCUGCGGAGAUGUAAAUUUUUUUGGAUUAGGGAUUGUAGCACUUGUAUCUCUUUUUGAGUGGAUGAGUAACCAAGGAAGACCCACUUAAUGGCUCGAGGGUCUAGUUUUGCUUCGAUGUUGGUUGUGGACAUGAACACAGGCAGUGCACCCGAACACCCUAGGUGUGGGCAUUUGAUGUUCGACGUGAGUAGAAGCCUUAGGAUUUUCUAAUGGGACUUUUAAUUGUCCAACCCCCGUGAUGGAAGUCUUUUAUAUGUGUGUGGCAGUAAGGACACUCUCCCCAAUAGGACUUAGGAACAUUCCCUUGAAAUAGUAAAUGCUCGUGUGGUGUUAAAAAUGCCCAUUUUUUCUCUCAGCUACCCCAUUUUGUUGAGGUGUGUUAACACAUGACGACUCAUGGAUACUACCCUGCUGAUUGAAAGUAGGGUUUAUAAAAUCUGGUUGAAGUAGUCCCUAGCCUUGUCUGUCCUAAGCCUUUUAUUUUAACUCCAAAUGGAGUUUGAACCAUUGAGUGGAAAUUAGGGUACACCAAUACCACCAUCAGAUUUUUGUUUGAGGAGAAAUAGCCAUGUAACAGAGUUGCAAUAUCAAUUAAGGAUACAAACCAACGAGCCCCUGAAACAUUAGGUUGUAGAGGUCCCCCAUUUGUCACUAUGAAUUAAUGGAAGGGGAUAGAACUUCUUUUAUUGGCUUAAUAGGAAAAGAUUCACGAGUAUGUUUGCCAAUUCACAGAUAUCCACAAUGGAAACUCAGAAAUAGCUAAUCCUUGGAACAAAUGAGGAAACAUUACUUUUAGAACCCUAAAAGCUGGAUGACCUAGACGCAAAGGAUAUAAAUACAAAAACCCCAAAAAUUGAUCUUUAUUCGAUGAACUAGAAAAACAAAGGUAUGUUUGCUCCUAACUUUCUGAGAUGAUUCAGGUGGUAAGACCACUUAUUUCCUUAGGCAAUCCCAAUCCUCCUCCCCGAGCCCCUGUUCCUGAAAACACAUAAUAAGGGAAAAAGACAGCACACAUUUAAGAUCAUGGGUAAGCUUUUGAAUGAAACAAGCUGGCCGAUGUUUUUUGGUACAUGAGGACAUUUUAAGGAUAAGGAUAGGUGGAUAUGUAUAUCUCCGAACCCUGCAACGUAGCUAAAGAACCAUUGGCCCUUGUCAUUUUUUCAGGUACUUGGGCAUGGGGUGUAUGUAUGAAAGGUUAGAUGUAGGGGUCAUAUGAUCUGUGGCACCGUAAUCUAUUAAUCCAUGAGUUGGCAAAAAUUUUUUUCUUGAGGCAUUCAUACAAAAAAAAAUUGAUGGUUUACCUGAAGAGUCAAAGAUCAUGCUCCCGAAGGCUUUCAAAGAGAUCCAAGAGGUUUUUUUCAGCUUGUUUCAUUUCUUCACUGUUGAACCCUCCUUUUGCUGAAUUCCAUCAAGUUUGGGCUGCUUUGCAAGGUGUGUUGAGGUCUCUGCCCCCAAAUGUUUCCCCACUCUCGGCUUGUGGUUUCUCAAUUUAAUUUCCAACACUUCUCUCUUGUGGCCUCGGUUCUUGCAGUAAGUGCAACCAAAGAUUGUCUUUUGUUUUUCCUUCAACUGAUUUUCUCUACCCGAGUAUUUAGGUAAUAAUUUUUCCCUUCUCCUAAUGAUCGUUUUUGUUGCUAGGGCUGACCCCGUCCAUGAUUCGUGGUUCAAGCAUAACUUCCUUCUGCUCUCUUCUGCUCGAUCAAUGAGAUUGUUCUUCUAGAGACGGUGUGUCCUCCUUGCCAAGGAUUUGAUCCUAACUUGAUCAAAUUCAGGGUUUAAUCCGCAAAUCAUGACCCUUCCUUUUCAAUGAAACUCUUCAAGCUGUCAGCAUCUUCGGGCAUUUUCAUCUCAAAACUCGGUAAUGACAGUUCUUGCCACCGAUUUUGUAGUAAAUUUGCAUAUUCCUGUGACAGAUUUAUCUCCUUGCUUAGUUGCUGUUGUUUUUAACUUUGAUCUCAUAUACUUGAGCAGCAUCGCGGGCCUUUGAAUAUGUGCGACUAAUAACUCCCAGAUCUCCUUUGCAUUAGAUAAAAACAUGCACGUGUCCACUAAUCAUGGGAUCCAUAGAAUCCCAUAGCCAGGACAUUAUCAUGGAAUCCUCCUCGUCCUAAGUGCCAAAUGCUGGAUCGGUUUGUUGGCUGGUCCUGCUCCCAAAGAUGGCUAAGCCUCCCUUGGCCCUUGAGGUAUGUUCGGAACAAAUUGAGACCACUUGGAUGUUUUUUCCCAUUGAGCCUGUAAGGGUCCCGAAUAUUCUUGCAAUCUCCACUUUCUGAACAGAUUGGAUUCAUCAUUGAAUUAGGAUUACUAGAGAUGUGGCUUCAGUGAUUUCGUUGUUUUUGGGAUGUUGUCAUGGUAAUGAAGGGAAUUUUCACAAUUAAGGGCUGCCCUAUCAGAAAUUAGAUUGGAAGGACUGCAGCAAUGAAGACUGCACAAGAGGAAGAAGGAAAUCUUAGAAAAUUGGACUUAACAGCAAUGAAGGCUGGCACUGACGACAAAGAAGAAAUCUUAGAAAAUCCUAAGCGUUGAUACCAUUCACAAACAAGGUAUGAAAACUUCUGUAUUUCUUUCUCUCACUUCUUACAUGUGAUGAUCACGGUAUAUAUAGAAGAUUACAAAAGAAAAGAAAAUAAAAUAAAUCAAGAAAAUUCAGGAUUCCAAAGUUGACUAAGGGAAAGUUGACUAAGAAUUUCAACUAAGCUGGCUAAUCUAAUUCAAACCCUUAAUUUAAAGAAAGUUGACAAUUCCUCCUAUCAAUAUCUACACUUUGACUUUUUUAAUAAAUAUUACUUAUUAAUAUAAAUAAAUAAUAAUAAUAAAAAACCACCUAGGCCCCACCUAGGCGACCGCCUAGCUGCCUAGGCGCUAGGCCCCCUCCGGCCGCCCGAUUACCGCCUAGCAAUUUUUAGAACCUUGGUUUUCCCAGAAUUGAAUCUUUGUUCACAUCUUCAGGUGUCAACACUUCUUCAAACUAGGUGUCGACUUCUUCAAAAAUUUUCAAUCUUGCAAAACUUCAUUAAUUCUUUUUCAAUAUCUUCAAGCUCUUCAUAGAUCUCCACUACGGUUCUCAGACUUGAAAGAACUUCUUCAAGGCACGUUUUGAUAUUCAAGCCACUUCCAUUUUUCGAGAUCGUUCAAAUAAGUUUACUUGCUCUUGAAGUUUUUUCAAUCACUACUUUCCUCCAUUGAUCUAUACUUUCUUUAAAGUAUUCAUAAAAUUUCUAAUCCUCAGUGUCGACACUCGAUGAACAUGUGUUUGACAUUUCCUUACCGAAAAUAUUUUCUCAAUUAAGUUUGAAGUCAUAAUUAUUAGUGAUGAAUAGUAAUAAUAUGAUCUGCACCCAAGUAGAAUCAUUAGAUAUUAACACAAGUUUUGUUAUCAUCAAAAUCAAGUCAUUGAAUCAACACUUUCCAGGUUAGAACACACCUUUUUCUGCCUUAGAAUCUGUCCACCCUCUCUGCAUUCCGAAUUUUCCUAGGACCUUGCCUAAUUUAUAGACAACAAAAUCAGUUACAAGAAUACAUAGCAAGAAUUUAGACAUGACACAUGUCCUGACAUUUGACACCCCAGACUACCUAGGGGAAACUUGUCCUAAUUUAGGCUUGCCACCAAUGCACGCCAGCAACUGCCCAUGCCAGUCUUGGGACAAGUGUUCCUGGAAUGUUUUCUUGUGAAUCCAAGUGUCCUCAGAAACUAUUCCCCUUCUGUUCAGACACAAUUCCCCUCUCUGCCGAGUGUAAUUGCCGAGCAACUGCCUCUGGUUGUAGCCUUCUACAUGACUGCUACCUAGUCCAUGCCAAUGCCAGCCUUGGGUCCGCACCAAGCCACCCACGGUUUGACUGACUCCCACGAGUGUUUCAUUCUUGUAUGACUGCCCAGCAACAUGUUGAUGCUAGGCCAUGUUCACAGCCCA
rnacentral:lncRNA from 1 species